GCAUUCUGUGUGGGUUGGAUCUAUUAAAAUAAAUAUCUCUAUAUUUAUACUUAAAUAUUCGUCAUCUGAAAGUCUCCAUUUUUUGCUUUCUCUUGUUUUGCAUGUACACAUACAUACAUCUUUUGUAUCU